UUCGCGCCGCGCUGCUCGCCUGGGCAGGCCCGCGGGGGACCUGUGGAGCGGGCGCCGCGCGGGUCGUGGCCGCUUUCAGUCGUUCCGAGGGUGGCGCCGGGGUUCUUUUCACGUGUGACUGCCGUGAAACAGCCGAGACAUAGGAAGUCAGAGGUGUUGGAUCUACUGAGCUGGAGUUACAGAUAGUUGUGAGUCAUUUGAUAUAGCGGCUGGAAAGUGAAUUCAAGUCUUCUGCAAGAGCAGGAAGACCAUGUGAGGACACAGGGAGAAGGUGCAGCUUGAAGCCAAGGACAAAGGCCUCCGAAGAAACCACCACUGCUGAUGCUUCAGUCAAAGCCUGCCAGCCUCCAGAAUUGUGAGACAAUACAUUUCUGUGGGCCAGGAUUUUCUUUUCUAGAAACCAUAGCAAAAUAACAGACUGUCCUUAUUUUACUAGUGUAACAUUUACUUAAAGGUUGACACAUGUUGAAGACGUGUGUUAUAGUCUCAUUUCUUUGUGUGCCUAAGUAAUAUCUCAUUGUCCAAAAGACUGCAUUUUGCUUAUCUGUUCAUUUGCUGAGAGACACCUGGAUUGUUUCCAGCUUGGCUAUUGUGAAUGUGCUGCUUUGAGCAUGGUGUGCAAAUUACCUGUUU